rnacentral:piRNA from 1 species
UAAGCAUAAAGGGAUAGUUGUGGCAGCCU